GACGAACGCUGGCGGCGUGCUUAACACAUGCAAGUCGCACGGUAAGGCCCUUCGGGGUACACGAGUGGCGAACGGGUGAGUAACACGUGGGUGAUCUGCCCUGCACUUCGGGAUAAGCCUGGGAAACUGGAUCUAAUACCGGAUAGGACUCCGGACUGCAUGGUCUGGGGUGGAAAGCUUUUGCGGUGUGGGAUGGGCCCGCGGCCUAUCAGCUUGUUGGUGGGAUGAUGGCCUACCAAGGCGACGACGGGUAGCCGGCCUGAGAGGGUGACCGGCCACACUGGGACUGAGAUACGGCCCAGACUCCUACGGGAGGCAGCAGUGGGGAAUAUUGCACAAUGGGCGCAAGCCUGAUGCAGCGACGCCGCGUGAGGGAUGACGGCCUUCGGGUUGUAAACCUCUUUCAGCAUCGACGAAGCGAAAGUGACGGUAGGUGCAGAAGAAGGACCGGCCAACUACGUGCCAGCCGCCGCAGUAA
rnacentral:rRNA from 1 species